AUUGAACGCUGGCGGCAUGCCUUACACAUGCAAGUCGAACGGCAGCACGGGAGCAAUCCUGGUGGCGAGUGGCGAACGGGUGAGUAAUAUAUCGGAACGUGCCCAGUCGUGGGGGAUAACGUAGCGAAAGCUACGCUAAUACCGCAUACGAUCUAUGGAUGAAAGCGGGGGAUCGCAAGACCUCGCGCGAUUGGAGCGGCCGAUAUCAGAUUAGGUAGUUGGUGAGGUAAAGGCUCACCAAGCCGACGAUCUGUAGCUGGUCUGAGAGGACGACCAGCCACACGGGGACUGAGACACGGCCCAGACUCCGACGGGAGGCAGCAGUGGGGUAUUUUGGACAAUGGGCGCAAGCCUGAUCCAGCAAUGCCGCGUGCAGGAUGAAGGCCUUCGGGUUGUAAACUGCUUUUGUACGGAACGAAACGGCGAGCUCUAAUACAGUUUGCUAAUGACGGUACCGUAAGAAUAAGCACCGGCUAACUACGUGCCAGCAGCCGCCGUAA
rnacentral:rRNA from 1 species